UAUAUUCAUGGGAUGAUAAUUGAUGUUUCUCAAAAUAAGAAAAUAUUAAAGAUAUAAAUAAACUAGAUUCUAUGUUCAACAAUAUUCGGAAAACUGACCAAAGUUAAAGAGUUUUCUUUAUUGUUGGAUGUCUUGCAGAUGUUACUGGAUCAACACUCAUUGUGAAACUCCAUGAAGGAAACAGUUUUCCAAACUCAUUUGGCCAGUAAAUCCUUUCACCAGAAGUUCCACAAGAGACUACUCUUCUGCAACAUUUCCCUAAUAGAAGCCAUAUCAAAUAUCUGUGACCAAAUGAAUUUUUCUAGAAAAUUGAUGCCACCUCAGAACAUCAUCUCAAAGUCAAAGAAAUGAACUGGAUUCAGGUACAAGAAAGCCAUUUGGCACAAAACAUGGUAAUUCAAUCCUUUUUUUUUUUUUUUUUUUUGCUUGACUCCAAGCUAAGUCAUUAAUCCAGUAAGAAAAAACAUGUCUAAAACAUUUAUUCUCAAUAAUGUAAAUUUUGUCAUAUUAUUAUUAUGAGAAUGCUUAAGUUAGGUUUUUUUUUCUUUUCACUUUUCAAUUGACUGCAUUGACCCAUGUACAUGGACUCUGCAUCGUAGCUAAUGAGAAAUGACAUCACAGUGGAAAGUUAAUGGAAGAGGAGUCAGAAGUCCCCUAUUCAACUCCCAUGUUUCUCAAGACCUGUACCUUGAUCCAGUGAUGUAACCUAAUACUUCAAUUUCCUCAUCUCUCAUAUUCUGAUAUUAGGGCCAACAUGAGAAGACAAUUUUGAUAACAAAAUAAAACAACAUACAAGAAAGUAUUUCA
rnacentral:lncRNA from 1 species